AAGCGGGAUGCUCUUCUUUGCCUCUUGCUAACGCGAUGAAACUCAUGAAUUGUGUUUUGGUGUUCCAAACUAUCAACAUUCCAAUUGUUGGUUUCCACCACUUCAAACAUACUCCUACUACGCAUUGUGAGCUAUUGUUUUAGGGGUCCUGCGCAGGGUCCUGAGAACAACACUUUCGCCUUUGCAGGCGAUCUGCAUCCCCUUUCUUUUUUCCUCUCUCAAUGAGUGGAAGCUGUGCACGGCCAGCGAAUAUAACGGCUAGUGAAGCGGGAAAGACUCACAUUUGAAAGCUGACGCCCGCAAUGUAGCAUCAACAGGCGCCUUCCAACGAAGCAUCAACUUCGCCAUUAGAAGUUACAUCCCCGGAAUUCUAAUUCUCGUUAGCUUAACACCACUUAGAAAGCUCUUACCACUAAAAUUGAUGCUAAUAAUGGAUAUCGCUCCCACAGAAGAUCUUUAAGUACAGUGCAACAAGGAACGGGAC
rnacentral:sRNA from 1 species